GGGUGCUGGCCCUCAUCAAAGGCAGGAGGAGGAGCUUCCUCGCUGUUGUAGUGAGCGACGAGAGUGUCAAAGCAAUAGACAGCCAUCUCCCUGUUUGCCGAAACCAUUUUCUCCUUCUCCUGAAUUCGAGUCUCUGUAAGAAACCAAACACAGCACGCAAUGGAUCUUCUCGCAAUCGGUAUUCAAUAGAUUAGAUAGAAAGAUGAAUUUAUUGCUUUGUUUGAGUGUUGAGAGACUCUUUCUCUGUGAUACUUU
rnacentral:misc_RNA from 1 species